UACGGGAGGCAGCAGUGGGGAAUAUUGCACAAUGGGCGGAAGCCUGAUGCAGCAACGCCGCGUGAGGGAUGACGGCCUUCGGGUUGUAAACCUCUUUUAGCAGGGAAGAAGCGAGAGUGACGGUACCUGCAGAAAAAGCACCGGCUAACUACGUGCCAGCAGCCGCGGUAAUACGUAGGGUGCAAGCGUUAUCCGGAAUUAUUGGGCGUAAAGAGCUCGUAGGCGGUCUGUCGCGUYUGCUGUGAAAUUCCGAGGCUCAACCUCGGGCUUGCAGUGGGUACGGGCAGACUAGAGUGCGGUAGGGGAGAUUGGAAUUCCUGGUGUAGCGGUGGAAUGCGCAGAUAUCAGGAGGAACACCGAUGGCGAAGGCAGAUCUYUGGGCCGUAACUGACGCUGAGGAGCGAAAGGGUGGGGAGCAAACAGGCUUAGAUACCCUGGUAGUCCACCCCGUAAACGUUGGGAACUAGUUGUGGGGUCCUUUCCACGGAUUCCGUGACGCAGCUAACGCAUUAAGUUCCCCGCCUGGGGAGUACGGCCGCAAGGCUAAAACUCAAAGGAAUUGACGGGGACCCGCACAAGCGGCGGAGCAUGCGGAUUAAUUCGAUGCAACGCGAAGAACCUUACCAAGGCUUGACAUACACGAGAACGGGCCAGAAAUGGUC
rnacentral:rRNA from 1 species